UGGGAAAGAAGGAGAGAACACCGCCAGCAGGAAGGUGAAGCUGCUUUAACAAAGGCUUCUGCAUGAACCCAGAAGGGCCUUUGAUGUUGCAGAUGAGUGGUCUUUAAUCAAUGUGGAUCCAUGUAUGAUAAUGCGGUUCUCUUAUUCUCCUUUUUUCUUGGGCAUAUGUAGGAGAAGAUAAGAAGACUUGUGCGACAUCUAUAUAUGAACUCUCUGAAGGAGUGGAAGCAUGAAAAUUAUUAGAUUAGAACAUUGAAUUCAAAAAUUUUCUUC
rnacentral:misc_RNA from 1 species